rnacentral:tRNA from 1 species
GCCGGCAUAGCUCAGUGGUAGAGCAACCGCCUUGUAAGCGGUAGGUCGUCUGUUCAAUCCAGACUGUCGGCACCA